GGAGGAAUCGUCCAGGAGCCCUAGCCGGACAAGAAUAUUGCAGAAGUGGACCUGAGUAGUCUGGACAUCCUUCUAAGGAGACAUGAAUAGUCCUCAUGUUUCUGCCUUCUGCAUCGCUGGCUGUGAGUAAGAGGUUUAGAGCCAAGGAAAACGAAGUCACGCGUCAGAGUCUACUGCCCUCAUGCGAUGGAAAGCGAGCGAGAGCGUUGAGACUCUGAGCAUUGUUGAUGCCACUCAAAAGCCGUCCAUCUGGGAGCUGUGGAGAUGCCGCUGUCCGUGAGAUAAGUGUCUGGUUUGGUGAGGGCUCUGCUCACGCCCAACCUGAGUCCAGGUUGGGAAGCCCACUAAGUUGGGGCUGGGUUUGUAUGAAAAGGUUCCUGACUAACUGUGGUUACGAGGGGGAAAAGGUCCCUAUUUUCAGAGGUUGCUCAUUUCUCUGGUCAGGAAUGGUGUCUCCUCUGCAGCGGAAGGUUGGAUUCAGAAGGAUGACUCCAGGUGGUCAGUUGCUUGCUUUCCUCCAAUGUUUUUCUUUCUCUCUCUCUCUUGUCUAAUAUGUUGGCCAACACACACCCUCUAGCUCUCGCUGUCUGUCCUUGCCUUUCCUCGUGUUGUCUCCUUUCGUAAGACACGGGCAGCCGUGUAACAUGUGUAUCCCCACAGGCUAUGUCUCGGGUGCCAUGGAGAAGUAGGAGGGGACGAAAAUCAUGCACGGCUGUGACUGUCGGUGUUAUCUCGGUCUCUGUUUGUCGAGUGGCGCCGAGCUGCGCUUCCAGAGGAAUUUUCCAGGAGCCCUAUCUCGAGAAGAAACUGGGAGAAGUGGACAUGAGCAGACUGGACAUCCCUGUAAGCAGACAUGAACACCCUUGUCAGCAGACAUGAACAGUCCUCAACUUUCUGGCUCCCGCAUAA